rnacentral:tRNA from 2 species
GCCGGAGUGGUGAAACUGGUAGACGCACGGGACUCAAAAUCCCGCGGGCCGCAAGCCCGUGUCGGUUCGAUUCCGACCUCCGGCACCA